GAUGAACGCUAGCGGCAGGCUUAACACAUGCAAGUCGAGGGGCAGCAUGAGACGGAGAUUCGUCGAAGUCUUGAUGGCGACCGGCGCAAGGGUGCGUAACGCGUGAGCAACUUGCCCGUUUCAGGGGGAUAACCGGUGGAAACGCCGACUAAUACCCCAUGGUGAUGUUAUGAGGCAUCUCAUUUCAUCUAAAGAGAUUCGGAAACGGAUAGGCUCGCGUGACAUUAGCUAGAUGGCGGGGUAACGGCCCACCAUGGCGACGAUGUCUAGGGGUUCUGAGAGGAAGGUCCCCCACACUGGAACUGAGACACGGUCCAG
rnacentral:rRNA from 1 species